rnacentral:sRNA from 1 species
GCCAGGCAUGGUGGCACAUGCCUGUAAUCCCAGCUACUCAGGAGGCUGAGGCAGGAGAAUCACUUGAACCCAGGAGGCGGAGAUUGCAGUGAGCUGAGAUCGUGCCACUGCACUCUAGCCUGGGUGACAGAGUGAGAUUCUGACUCAAAAACAAACAAAAAAAGUGGCCGAGCUCAGUGUCUCAAGCCUGUAAUCCCAGCACUUUGGAAGGCCGAGGUGGGUGGAUCACCUGAGGUCAGGAGUUCGAGACCAGCCUAGCUAACAUGGUGAAAGCCUGUCUCU